rnacentral:tRNA from 1 species
GCGAAAGUAGCUUAAUCGGUAAAGCGUUGCAUUGCCAUUGCGAAGAUUGAGGAUUCGAGUUCCUUCUUUCGCU